rnacentral:rRNA from 1 species
UACGGGGGGGGCAAGCGUUGUUCGGAAUUACUGGGCUUAAAGGGCCAGUAGGCGGCCAACUAAGUCGGAUGUGAAAUCCCCAGGCUUAACCUGGGAACUGCAUCCGAUACUGGAUGGCUUGAAUUCGGGAGAGGGAUGCAGAAUUCCAGGUGUAGCGGUGAAAUGCGUAGAUAUCUGGAGGAAUACCGGUGGCGAAGGCGGCAUCCUGGACCGACAUUGACGCUGAACGGCGAAAGCUAGGGGAGCAAACGGG